GGCAGCAUGGUACACACAUCUAGUCCCAGCCACUCUGGAGCCUGAGGCAGGAGGAUUGCUUGAGUCCAGGAAUUCUGGGCUAUAGCGCGUUAUGAUGAUCAGGCGUCCGCGCUAAGUUUAGUAAAAAUGUGGUGUCCCCCUGGGAGCAUGGGACCACCAGGUUGCCUGGGGAGGCGUGAACCAGCCCAGGUCAGAAGCAGAAAAGGUCAAAAUUUCCAUGGUGAUCAUUAAUGGGAUUAAGCCUGGAAAUAGCCACUGCACUCCAGCCUGGCCAACACAGCUGAGACCCUGCCUCU
rnacentral:SRP_RNA from 1 species